rnacentral:lncRNA from 1 species
AGCACAUGGUGCCUGUGCAGCAUCAGGACACAGAUGCUAGUGACAAACUGGCUCCUGCCUCCCUCCUUGGGGGGUGUAAAAUGCAGAAAACCACAGAAGCUCUUCGAGUGGGUGCAGGACAGCAGAGAACUGCCUCCUUCAGCACCACUCCUGCACACCCUGAUCUUCCUGCAGCUCCAUGGGGAGGAACACUAUCAAGAGACCAAAUGCCUUGGGAUCCCUCUGAUGUAUCCAGAAACACCCAGAUGCCAGAAGGACAGCAAUGGAAACACGCUGAGCUGGGACCUCCCUGGGCAAUGGAGUACUUUCCCCUCAGGAGCUGCCAUCUCAUCUUUCGGGAUGGGUCUGGGGUGUUUUACCUUCCGCUGCAUGCUGACAUUAAAACCAACAUCUGGUGCAACUGGACCAUCUGGGCAGGCCCCCAGAAGCACAUUGUCAUCUAUGUCCAGGGAUUUGAGGGGAGCGACGGCUGUGGCAGCAACCAGGACAAGAUCGUCUUCCAGGGGGUCUCAUCAAGUGUGGAAACCAAAGUGGUGUAUGCCUGCCACAACCGAGGCACUCUGGUCUUUGCUACGCAAGCUACUGAGGUCCAGGUGUUGUUUCUGUCAGGGAGUGGCUCCCAAAGCCAUGAAUACAAAUAUUUUAAGGGACAGUAUUACAUAUUCAGAGACUCUGAAGCUGUGGGCUCUUCAAACGAUACCACAGCAGCUCCCCGAGAGCCUGUCCAGGAGACCUCUAGAAAAGAGAGCUGGAGGACAGUGGCAACAAAAGGUUUAGUGUCCAUGCUCAGUGCCUCUCUAGGCCCACCAGCUGCACCUGCCAGUGGCAGGAUUCAGCCUGAUCUUGUGAGCCCAGGUGGAAAGGCCCAACACCCUUCUGAUCUCACAGAAGAUGCUCAGUUUGGUACUAACCUGAGCAAGCUUGACCUGAGUGAGCAUGGUCAGCUGAAGGAUGAAACCAAGCUGGAAAAGAGCCCUCAGGAUGGUAGCACUGAGGGCAGAGAAACUGAAGAUGAUGUGUUGGUGGAGGCAGCUCCAGCUGGGCAAGACACUGGGUGUAAAGCUGAGCCAUCUGCCUUGGGGCUGACCGAGGGGGAUGUAGAGCCAGUAGCUGCCCUGGCC